GCUUACUUGAAAUUAUUCUUGUGAGAAUUAGGUAAUGAGAGUUCGUUUUCAGCUAAAAAUCGAACUCUUUUUUUAUUAAAAA
rnacentral:sRNA from 1 species